rnacentral:misc_RNA from 1 species
CUGCAUUACAUUUCCUAGGUGUAACUCGGUAUGCACCUUCACCUUGUCACUUGGGCAAUGCCAAAAGAAACUGGUUGAUUAGCUUACAGUAACAUUGUCAAUGGUUAGUAUUAUGCAGAGACCCUGAGUACCAGCCAGAAGCUGCUCUUCAUCCACACCAUUUUUGUUUCUGCUUAAACAUAUGAACAAUAUGAACAGUCCGAGCUAAGUAGGCUCUCCUGAAGCACUGGCAGCAUCAACCACAAAAAAAAUGGGGAUACACAGCGCCAAUUUUCUUUUCCACGCCAAGCUUGAGUUCCGAGAAUUGGAUACAGUCAUUGUUUUGUAGCAGAGGAAUUUCAAGGCCCCAUUCAAAGAGGUGAGACAAAAGUGGCUUGAAAUCCAGAAACAUGAACAUCGUAGAAUAGCAGUCACUGAGGAAAAUCUGCAAUAAAAUCAGUCACAUUGGAGUUCCACUUGGCUUUGUUUCACGUGGAUCAAAAAGUCCCAAGGUUAAGAGUCAUAGUUGGUUCAGGAACUGAACAGCCUGCCAGUACUUUACAUCAAAGUGGAACAGAAAAAGUUGUAUGAUCUUCAAGGAACAGGAGGAGCAUUCUUGGGAUAUCUAGAAGAUGAAGGCAUACGCUGCAGAACUUUUAAACGUUUAUUUGACAUCCCUUGCAUUGGCCUUAUCCACAUUACAAAAAAUACAAAAUAAGAAAUAAUAAACAUAAAAUAAAAUAAAAGAAAGAAAAUGGGAAACUAAGAUGCUAGUCCAUGCGAAAGGUUUAGCAUCUGGACUAAUAAUCAUAAAUGCGACAGAUAGUGUAACUGUUGUCCAAUUGUAAAAUGGAAAGCCAACUAAAGUAUGGAACUUAUCAGGACAAAGCUGAAUGCCUACUAUUGCAUAAGAUCUUGGUUAUCGGAAUCAUGUUUUAUCCUCUUUUUUAAAAUAUGCUGGGCAAAGCUAUAGUAACAGUUAAUUGUGCAAAAAUAAUUUAAUAAACCCCAAUAGGUUAAAAUUAAUAAAAGUUGAAAGAUCCCGUUGCACAGCAUGUUUUCAAAACACUUAACAGGAGAAAGUAGAGUUUAAUGGGACCAUCCAUCAGUCCACUCCCAUCUAUUGCGAUAUUAAAAUGCAUUUCAAGUCAAGCACUCAAGCAGGCCAUAUCCUAUUCUCAUGGUCACAGCUCAAAAAGUAACAUAGAAAGCAAGGAAAGAACUAAGUAUUCAACGUGGGCAUAUGUGGAAUCACAAACCUUGGGGAACCCUGGCGUUUUGGCGGAAAUUGACCAUACAUUGUUCUUAGAGCCUUUUCAGCAGCCUAUGCAUAAAGGAGCUCAAAUAGAUAAUUAAAGUCCAUAAAGAUUGAAACAAGUAGAGUAUUCUAAGUCCCAUAAAAGAAGAUUUUAAAUAUGACAGAAGAAAUACCUGCAUUUUAGCCUCAUCCCAUGUUGACCCAAUCCCCUUCCCCAUAACCUGUCCAUCUAUUUCGACCUGUGCAUGUACUUCAUCCUUCUGGCCUGAAUUAGAAGAGAGCGGUGUCUGUGCAAGAAAAUUUACCCCAAGGCCUUCCGUCAUGCAUAAUUCUUUGAGUGCAGUAACUGAACCCAUUGAUUUCUUAGAGCCUUCCAGUCUAGGAUCCAGAAACCUAGAUGGCUCUGAGGCAGAUGAUGAUGAGACAGGCUCAUCUUUGGGCAAUGUCUGACUCCCAAAAGAAUUCAGAUUACCCAAAUAACCAUUUUCAUUUGCACUAGAAUAUCUACUUGCAUCCCCAUGCAAAGCCCCAUUAUCUGGCUUAGCUUGUGCCAUAUAUAUGUCUGGAAAAACAUUUUCAAAGCUGUCAUGAUCACACUGUAAUGCAGGGAGAGGAGAAAUUUCCAACCUGACAGAGACUAGAACAUCACAUUUAAAAAAACAACCUAGAUGAAGCAAUUUACAGCAAAUAUACUAUGCCAGCAUUCAAGUAAACUACAUCAGAUGGCAAGUUCAAGGUAUUUAGCAUAUAGACACGGGAAUGACACAAUUUGGACUUCUCAUUGAGAGCCUAAGCUCCAAUCAAUGACAAGCCUGAGAUGCUGAAAAUCUGCAGAGUGCAAUCCAAUAAGCAUCGCUGAUAAAGAGAAGAGCAAUUAUUUAAUUUUGCUAACAAUGACUUCUACAUGCCUGAGGUUAGUGGUGUAGUUGCCUUAUACACUAGAUAGGCACAACAUACAUUCUGCACAAUAAUAAAACAUGCUACCAAACAGAUAACUAGAUUAUACCCUGACAUGGUAAAGGAUAGCACACUUAUAAUGAGGAAACUUACUAGCCAAGUUCUUAACAGAAACCUCAGCCGCAAGAUGUUGGGCUUCCCUUCUUGUUCUACCAAUUCCCUCACCAACUUUCUCUCCAGCAAACCAAGCCUGCAAAAGUAAUGAAGGAGAUAAGAAACUGUGCCAAUUCCUCCAUUCAGGCAAAAUAAGUCAUUUUGGAUAUACAGAACCCCCCCAACCCCCUACUUUCCCCUAGGAAAAACCUUCCCUCUUUUAUUAAACAAGAUUGAGCAGAAGAUCACACUGAAUUUUACCCCUCCAGUGAUCCAACUCCCUGAUAAAUAACAUGCGAGUCAUUUAAAUUCCUUGCUCCUUACAGCAUUAGGAACAAUGUUCUACUUUAAGGUGACAGUAUGCGUGCAAGCAUACGCUCCUGCUAAAUCUUAGAAAAGAGUUUUUCGAUGGCCAAGCUUGGUAAAUUAAUAUCAGUUAUUAGGUCCAUAAAAAAAAUGUCAUCCUAGUUUAAGUUCAACAUUUCAUUUUGAUCAGUAAGUGAUUUGCUACGCAUGUUCUCUUGGUUGCCCCCAUAACAAAAGAGACCAAUUCUUAUCAAAUAAGAAAGGUCUAUCCAGAAAUUUACUGCAGUCUGGAGAGAGAGGAGGGGAGGCAUCAACUAUUAUGAUUGGACAAGUAGAAAUUUCACGAAUGCUGAAAGUAACAUUGAACUUAAAAGUUUUUGAGCUAAAGAGCUUAGAAACCUCAAUGGAGAACUGCAGAUCUCUGCUAUCAACCAAUGAAGGCCUGAAUUCCACCUUGGCCCCACACUUCAUUGCAAUUUCCUGCAACACUCCAACUGGAGUUUCUGCACUUCGAACAGCUCGUUCAGAUUCAAAAUCAAGAUCCCUGUUGCUGGAAGAUGGUCGACUCAAUGGAAUUUCCUCCCCUUCAAAACAAAAACCCAAGACACCAUUCUAGUAAUAAAACAGAAUAAAUUGGACAACAUAAACACAGAUAUAAUGCAAACCAAACAAAGCACCAGCAUAAAUGCUCCACAAGUUGCAUAAAAUUUUUAAAAGCAAAUAAAGAUGAAUAUCAGCCAAGAAAAUCAAAAGCCAAAAGGCAUCCAUUCAGAUUGGAAUUUGAGUUCAGAAGAUGUUCAUGAGGAAUGAGAAGCAGGGUUUGUGACACUCAUGUUAGCCUCAAUUUAUAAUCCACUAUGUCAACAAAAUAACAGAGCUUAAAUUGGCUCUGCAGUGCAUCUCAAACACAUCAGCAGAGGAGGUUAAAAUAAAGUGGCAGAGCUCAAUCCUCAAUCUUGGCAGUUCUCACUGAUGGGCAAAACUGGUGUUUGACAAUAUAUGCAAUUGGCUCUUUACUCACCUGAGAAAGAAUGAUAGUUGGACAUGGUAUGGUUUAUCCUCAACCGAUCAUCUCUAUAAGGUGCCUGCAACACUUUUGGCAAUCUUUGAUUCUCAUGAAGCAUUCUCUCAGAUGGAAUAGAAUUCUCAACCUUGGGGAAAAAGGGUGUAUGAUGAGGUCGGUGCUUUUCAAUGUGCACUGGUUCUGAAUCCAGAGAAAAUCCUCUUGGUGUUGCUCGAUUCAGCUGCCUGGGACUCAUUUCUUCCUCCACCGGAACCCAGCUUCCACAAGACUGCACCCGUGGAAUUGAAACUUGCAUUGAAGGUCUUACAGGAAAUUGUGUUUCACUCGGUGCAUGAUCUCUAGUAUCUUGUCCAUGUUGCAGUAUAAGAAGCCGCCUCCUUGUAUCAGGAUCUAAUUCUGAUUCUGGCACCUCACCCUCUUCUCUAGCAGGAGAACUUUGCAAGCUUGGUUCUGGAGGACCAACCUGAGCCAACGGUUUGACUAAUGAGGUUGCCUGAGGAAACUGCAUGCUUGGAAAUGGCAUUACAGAUGGCUGUGCUGCUGGCACUGGAGUUGAACUUGAAGAAGAUACCACUGUGUACUGAAGAGGAGGAACAAGCCUUGAAUCUACAUUGGCGACUGUUGAAGGGAACAUUGAAGAAGCUGAAAGUGCUUCCUUUAGUCGUUUUUCAACCUCAGCAUCCACCAUGCCAUCAAACAAAAGUGGAUCUUUGUGUCCAUUUGAAGUAGCAGCAUCAUCCUCUGAAACCAAAUAGUUGCUCACAUCAGGAGGAGAAGGAAUGUCGCUCAUAUCAUCUUCAUAUGAAAUCUCAGGUAUCCUUUGUAGAAGACCCUCAUCAAAUUCCUUGAAGAAACCACCUCUGACAUUGCAGGCAACAUUUCUUGCAACGCACAACACUGGAACAGUAUUAUUUGCUUCUGCUUGUGGAGCAUAGUAUGGAGCAAAUGCAGGAACAACAUGCACCCGAGGUUGAUCUUUCUCAUCCCACACUUUUAAGCGAUCAUCAAUCACCAAUGCCAUCUUAGGAUGGCAUAUUCCAUCUUGAAAAACAUUGAACAAUGACUUCCUUGAACCAGACUUGACACACACAAUCCGGUCUAAUAAUUCUUUUGAGUUUAUCAAGUUUGACUCUGGAUCAAGAAGCCUCCACAUUUCUAAAGCAUAAUCUCUUUCAGCCAUUGUGCAAACAUAAACCUCAAAACGUUUGCGCCCUCUAGCAGUCAAGUAACUUCUAAGUUCUUCCCAUGCAGGUCUCAACCUCACAAGGACACUUGUAUCACGAAUCUGUGGAUUGAUGCGCGUCAAAAUAAUAUUCCUCUCUUGUAAUCGUAUCAAUGGACGCACUAUAGGUUGGUGGUUAUCAGACAAGGCAGGAACAAUCUCAAGCUGGGUUUUGAUCACCCUUCCAUUUUCAAUAAACUGAUCAUUUUCCACGUAUUGCUUCAAAAUCGUCUUGUCAUCCUGAUAACGCUUCACCUCUGACAGCAUACCAGAAAUACGCUGAGGGUCCAUCUCAGUGCUUAUUUUCCGCUGCAAAGCCUCGAUUCUAUCUUCAAAAGAUCGCAUUGUGUUUGCAACAAUGAGGGUCUCAUCAAGAUCAAAUACAAUGCCAAGACAUCUGAGAUUCAGCAUGACAAGACAAGCAUUGUAAAGCCCUGCUGAAACAUUGAAUCCCCAGAAGCAUGGAUACUGUCUUUCAUCAUUUCCAGAAUACAUUGCCACCAAAUGGAGCUCCUCCCCUCCUAUUGGCAUUAUGGCAGUCUUGUUUUCCUGGAUACAGGAGGAGUGCAAAAGAUGAAGCGGCGUGUCAAGAGAGCCUGUAUUCUUGGACUCCAUUUUGAAGCACAUCCCACAUGUAAUGGUAUGUAUCACUGCCAGUGGAGGACACCUCUCACUCGGUUGCGAGAAGUGGCUUAUUCUGAUUUCCUUCCCCGUCAAUAUCUCAUCUAUCACUCUCUUCUUGUUGUUGUGAUUCUCUUCUUCUCCUUCUUGUUGCUGUUGUGGAUAUAUUUCUACUUCUCCAAGUAACUCCUCCCCUUUAUACACUGCCGAUUUAUGCAUCUUUACCAAAAGAAAAUAUCAAAACCCCUUUCUCAUAAAACUCAAAAUCUCCAGUAUUUAGCUUCAAAAACUUUCACCUUUUGAAUAUCACAAGAGUCUCCAUCAAAAUCCAUCGUCAUCGUCAUCAAAAUUUAGAUAUGAUCAAAUUUUUGUGAAAUUAAAAAAGGUCGAGAGAACAAAAAACAAACAAACAAACAAAAGCUAAAUCAAAAUUAGGGAUCUUGAUUGCUCAGAUUUUAAGACAAUAGAUCUGUAAUUGAGAUGAUCCAAAAUUCAAACCCUAAAAACAAAUUUUGCUUCGACAAGGAUCGAUCUGUGAGUGAUAUGGUUCGAUUGAUUAGAUCGAUAGAUAGAAUUACCAGUCAAGAUGGUGCUAGGGCUUGGUAUUUCGUUUCAAUGAUGGCAGAGAACAAGUCUCAAAAAAAAGCAAACCCUAGAUCCAGAUUGCGAAAGGUCAAAAAUACUACUCCUGCGCUGUGGUGUGCGUAAUGGUUGAUAGUACUAAAAAAUUCCAAAAAGUAUAAUUAUUGAGAUUUUAUUUAACCUAAUUUAUUAGAAAGUCAUCCAUCAAUUUGAAGCUUCCUCUUUAACCACGACAGCGUAAUCUGUGGCCUAAAUGACUCUGACAUCUUUAGAAAAAUUAAAUUAAAUAAAUAAAUUUUUUCUUUUUCUAUAAUUUUUUUUUCCUGAAAUAU